rnacentral:rRNA from 1 species
AUUGAACGCUGGCGGAAUGCUUUACACAUGCAAGUCGAACGGCAGCACGGACUUCGGUCUGGUGGCGAGUGGCGAACGGGUGAGUAAUGUAUCGGAACGUGCCCCGUCGUGGGGGCUAACGUAGUGAAAAUUACGCUAAUACCGCAUACGCUCUAUGGAUGAAAGCGGGGGAUCGCAAGACCUCGCGCGAUUGGAGCGGCCGAUAUCAGAUUAGGUAGUUGGUGGGUAAAAGGCCCACCAAGCCAACGAUCUGUAGCUGGUCUGAGAGGACGACCAGCCACACUGGAACUGAGACACGGUCCAGACUCCUACGGGAGGCAGCAGUGGGGAAUUUUGGACAAUGGGCGAAAGCCUGAUCCAGCCAUUCCGCGUGCAGGAUGAAGGCCCUCGGGUUGUAAACUGCUUUUGUACAGAACGAAAAGGUUUCUACUAAUACUAGGAGCUCAUGACGGUACUGUAAGAAUAAGCACCGGCUAACUACGUGCCAGCCGCCGCCGUAA